rnacentral:lncRNA from 1 species
AAGACCCAUGGUGGUGUGAAGGACAUAAAGAGACAGUUUUGGGGCAGAUCAAGGGGGAAGUUGAGAACGACCCUCUGAACGGUUUUGAUCAUUGUUAACAACACCCAAAGCCUUAUCUGUAGCCUGUGAACACACGCAAAUGGUGAGGAAAGGAGGGAGUUGGCCGGAAUCCCUUCCCAAGGGCCAAUGCAGCCUUAAAGGGAGAUUGGUGUGGAAAGCAGUUUCAUGGGAAACAAAGAGGGAAGUGAUGCACGACCUUUGGAUGGUGAUUGAUCAUGGAUGAUCAUGUCUAAGGCUUCCUCUGUGUCUUGGGAACACACGCAAUUGGUUAGGAGAGAAGGGGGAAGGCUUGACUUCACUCUCAAAGGCAUGAACAGCCUUGAAGAUGGAUGCAGUAUAGAAACUGGUUUCAUGGAAGUUCCAUGGAAGGAGGUAUGGGCACGAACCAUGGUUAGAUAUUAUCAAUACUGGGAGUAUGUGAUAAGGGUUUGAUGAAG